GACGAACGCUGGCGGCGUGCUUAACACAUGCAAGUCGAACGGCAACGCCCUGCUUUUUUGUGGUGCUCGAGUGGCGAACGGGUGCGUAACACGUGAGUAACCUGCCCUAUACUUUGGGAUAACUUCAGGAAACUAGGGCUAAUACCGGAUAGGAUCUCCUGCUGCAUGGUGGGGGUUGGAAAGUUUCGGCGGUUGUGGAUGGACUCGCGGCUUAUCAGCUUGUUGGUGGGGUAGUGGCUUACCAAGGCUUUGACGGGUAGCCGGCCUCAGAGGGUGACCGGCCACCUUGGGACUGAGAUACGGCCCAGACUCCUACGGGAGGCAGCAGUGGGGAAUAGUGCACGAUGGGCGGAAGCCUGAUGCAGCAACGCCGCGUGCGGGAUGACGGCCUUCGGGUUGUCAACCGCUUUCGCCUGUGACGAAGCGUGAGUGACGGUAAUGGAUAAAGAAGCACCGGCUAACUACGUG
rnacentral:rRNA from 1 species